CAGCAGCCGCGGUAAUACGUAGGUCCCGAGCGUUGUCCGGACUUAUUGGGCGUAAAGCGAGCGCAGGCGGUUAGAUAAGUCUGAAGUUAAAGGCUGUGGCUUAACCAUAGUACGCUUUGGAAACUGUUUAACUUGAGUGCAAGAGGGGAGAGUGGAAUUCCAUGUGUAGCGGUGAAAUGCGUAGAUAUAUGGAGGAACACCGGUGGCGAAAGCGGCUCUCUGGCUUGUAACUGACGCUGAGACUCGAAAGCGUGGGGAGCAAACAGGAUUAGAUACCCCUGUAGUCCCUGUCUCUUAUACA
rnacentral:rRNA from 1 species